CUCCCUUUAUUUCUACAUGAAAUAUAUAAAGUUAAAAAUGGCAAAUGGUUAGAAAAUAAUUGGAGAGGACAGGGAGGAGGCUCUCCUAUUUAAACCCCAGAGAUUCUGUUUGAUUUGCUCUUCAUUACUGAAGUAUACGGUAUCAUCACAUUUAUAACAUAAAGAAGGUUAUAGAUGCUUAUGUGUCUGGAAAGGGAUUUUAAAAGAUCACCAAACGAUUUUACUGUCCAGAAGAUCUGUAGGUGGAACAGCUUUUAA